AGCACUCGAUCAGGGAAUCAUUGUACCGCGAUGCUGGGGAGCUCCCGCCGCCGCUCUCUCCAUUGCCCAACUCCGGCGCCACCGUCUCCUCGCUGGCUCGCCCCCGUCUUCUGUUCCAACACCAGAAGUUCAUCGUCGAUACGCAGCCGCCGCCGCACAGUCCCGACUGCAUCCCAGACAUCUGUGCGCAUCACCGCGCCGGCCAGCGCCAUCCUGUCCUCUUUGGCAUCUCGUCGCCCUUACCGGUCUUCUCCGCUCGCGCGUCAACGGCGAUGACCUGCUUCUCGUCGGCGUCCCCUCACCCCCCCCCCUCCGCCAUCCCAGCAAUACUGUCUCGGCGGCGGCGGCCUUGGCCCUUGGCCUCCGCGUGGAUCGACGGCACCGUCCUCGUCGCUCGCCAAGGCGGCCAAGCCCACCACGCUGUUCCGGGACUGGUGCCUGGCUGUCAUUGCGGCGCGCCGCCUGUGUCGUCUCGGCAGUGGUGCAGGAGGUGGUAGGAGGCCGACGAACUCCUUCCAUUCAAGGUCAAAUGGAAGGAGUCGAUGGGAGGCGUUGCCUUCUCCGCGUGUAUGGCUUCCAUUGCGAGCUGCAGGAACAACCUCAAGAAGCUGACCUACGACGAGCGGAAGGCCAGUCUUUAUCCAAUGCAGGUCCACUAUAAGUUUCUGGUUCAUCAGUCAAGCAUGUUGUUAAGCAAGCUGAAGGUAUAUAGACUGACGAAGAUAGUUGUACUGCUCCUAAGGCUACAUCACCCAGGAAAUUAUGGCUAAUCUAAAAGUAACUGUAAUUUGUUGCAGCAUAACAACAUGCAUCUUGGUUCCAAGAAAAAGUUCACACGUUGUUUAGUGGGAGAAAAUCAACCACUCAGACAGCCGGAAGGGAGUGCCAUAUAUGGAUCAAAAUGCUAGACAUUUCUGUUCAUAUUCAUAGCUAUACCAAAAGGUUGAACUAAUCAAACAAAAGGAAGAGAAAAGCCAUAUGGAAGCUAAAAUUCCAUGCAUUUUCUUCACAGGUUUUGUAGAAUGAUUCAAACACGUAGUGUGUAGUUGGACCAGACAAAUGUGUGCUGAACAACUCGAAAUGAAGAAGCCGAAAGGUGAUACACGAACUGAAUAUUAGGGAAGUAAGGAAAACAGCAUGAGUGAAAGAUGUUACUAACAAUUAUUAGAGCCAAUUCCUUUUGCCAGCAAACCAUGUUGCCUACGGGGAAAAAUAGAUAGAACCUGAUUGUGGCAUUAUGAGCUGAUCGUAAUGGAGAAAUAGGAUAGCCACUUGUAGGAUCAUAACGGAGAAAUCGGCUAGCUACUUGCAGGGUUCUUUUCAUAUCACUUGUCCUGUAAUGUGAUGAAACUGAAAGUGAGAAUUUAUAUGACAGCAAUACAUUGUUUACCUGAUGG